rnacentral:rRNA from 1 species
AUUGAACGCUGGCGGCGCGCUUAACACAUGCAAGUCGAGCGAGAACCGGGUCUUCGGACCCGGGGAAAGCGGCGAACGGGUGAGUAACACGUGAGUAAUCCACCCUCGGCACCGGGAUAGCCCGGGGAAACCCGGAUUAAUACCGGAUGGCCCAACAGCCCUUCGGGGCGGUUGGAAAAGGUAGCUUCGGCCUCCGGCCGAGGACGCGCUCGCGGCGGAUUAGCUUGUUGGUGGGGUAAUGGCCUACCCAGGCGACGAUCCGUAGCUGGUCUGCGCGGCACAUCGGCCGCACUGGGACUGAGACACGGCCCAGACUCCUACGGGAUGCAGCAGUGGGGAAUCUUGCGCCAUGGGCGAACGCCGGACGCAGCGACGCCGCGUGCGGGAAGAAGGCUUUCACGUUGUAAACCUCUUUCAGGAGGGACGAAGCUACGCGGGUUAAUAGCCCAGAGGGUGACGGUACCUCCAGAAGAAGCCCCGGCUAAGUACGUGCCAGCCGCCGCAGUAACAC